CAUUUGAGGAAAGAACGCUGCCUUCCUUCAUCCUGGAAACCCUGAGGGCAGCAACAAGAUUGUUACCAGAAAUCUAUGAAGCACAUCAUGGAGCCAAUUGCUUCUAUUGGCAUGAAGGAAGAUGGUUGGAGUCGGGUGAUAACAGCCAGCAAAGUGUCCAAUAGUUCUGUCUUUGGAAGUGUUUCUGCCAAGAUUGAUAAUUUCAGAACUGAGUCUGGGAAGCAAACAAUCCAACAUCCAGAGAGAGUGAGCACUGCCCUGCUGUCAGCAUGGAGCUGGGCUUGAACUCACAAACCUUGAGCUCGUGACCUGAGUUGAAAUCAAGAGUUGGACGCUUAACCGACUGAGCCACCCAGGGACCCUAAGAAAAAUUCUUACAUGCCACUUACUAUUAUCUACAAUCAAAUUAUCUACAGAGGGAAAUAUGUUAGAUGCCUGUAUAAUUUUGAUAUUAGAAGAAAAACAUGCUCAUUUUAUUA